rnacentral:rRNA from 1 species
CCUACGGUGGGCUGCAGUGGGGAAUAUUGCACAAUGGGGGAAACCCUGAUGCAGCGACGCCGCGUGAGUGAAGAAGUAAUUCGUUACGUAAAGCUCUAUCAGCAGGGAAGAAAUACUGACCUUACGGUCAGCAGACGGUACCUGAGUAAGAAGCCCCGGCUAACUACGUGCCAGCAGCCGCGGUAAUACGUAGGGGGCAAGCGUUAUCCGGAUUUAUUGGGUUUAAAGGGUGCGUAGGCGGAAGGUUAAGUCAGCGGUCAAAUGUCGGUGCUCAACACCGGCCUGCCGUUGAAACUGGUCUUCUUGAGUGAGCGAGAAGUAUGCGGAAUGCGUGGUGUAGCGGUGAAAUGCAUAGAUAUCACGCAGAACUCCGAUUGCGAAGGCAGCAUACCGGCGCUCAACUGACGCUGAGGCACGAAAGCGUGGGGAUCGAACAGGAUUAGAUACCCUUGUAGUC